UAGGGAAUCUUCCACAAUGGGCGAAAGCCUGAUGGAGCAACGCCGCGUGUGUGAUGAAGGCUUUCGGGUCGUAAAGCACUGUUGUAUGGGAAGAACAGCUAGAAUAGGGAAUGAUUUUAGUUUGACGGUACCAUACCAGAAAGGGACGGCUAAAUACGUGCCAGCAGCCGCGGUAAUACGUAUGUCCCGAGCGUUAUCCGGAAUUAUUGGGCGUAAAGCGAGCGCAGACGGUUGAUUAAGUCUGAUGUGAAAGCCCGGAGCUCAACUCCGGAAUGGCAUUGGAAACUGGUUAACUUGAGUGCAGUAGAGGUAAGUGGAACUCCAUGUGUAGCGGUGGAAUGCGUAGAUAUAUGGAAGAACACCAGUGGCGAAGGCGGCUUACUGGACUGUAACUGACGUUGAGGCUCGAAAGUGUGGGGUAGCAAACAGGAUUAGAUACC
rnacentral:rRNA from 1 species